AUUGAACGCUGGCGGCAGGCUUAACACAUGCAAGUCGAGCGGAGAGAGGUAGCUGGCUACUGAUCUUAGCGGCGGACGGGUGAGUAAUGCUUAGGAAUCUGCCUAAUAGUGGGGGACAACAUUUCGAAAGGAAUGCUAAUACCGCAUAAGUCCUACGGGAGAAAGCAGGGGAUCUUCGGACCUCGCGCUAAUAGAUGAGCAUAAGUCGGAGUAGCUAGUUGGUGGGGUAAAGGCCUACCAAGGCGACGAUCUGUAGCGGGUAUGAGAGGAUGAUCCACCACACUGGGACUGAGACACGGCCCAGACUCCUACGGGAGGCAGCAGUGGGGAAUAUUGGACAAUGGGCGGAAGCCUGAUCCAGCCAUGCCGCGUGUGUGAAGAAGGCCUUAUGGUUGUAAAGCACUUUAAGCGAGGAGGAGGCUACUUUAGUUAAUACCUAGAGAUAGUGGACGUUACUCGCAGAAUAAGCACCGGCUAACUCUGUGCCAGCCGCCGCCGUAA
rnacentral:rRNA from 1 species